AAGAUGCUGUAGCUUUAAAGAUGCUUUGACUUGAGGAUUAGUUUAAACAGGGGGCUAUAAAAGAUGUAACAGAUGCAAACUGUAAAACAAGGGCAAUUAACCCUUGCUCUCCUGAGCAGGAUCCCCCCCCCUCCCCUCUUCGCCUUCGCAUCUAUUGUCUUCUCCUGCACUGGGAGUUUUACACAAAAACCUAAAAAAAAUCAUUACCUGCCUCAACAAUACUACAAAAAACAUAAAAAUAUAUAGCAAAAAAGUGGGCUUUCUCCUCUCCUCUUUUUUUUUUUUUCCCUCCCCUUAUGUCUUUUUACUUUGCUGGAGCUUCACACCAGGACUGACCAGUGAAGUGUGCUGCUGCUGGGGCUUUUUUUAUUCCGCCUGAACUCUUCUUUCCAGGCGUUUGCGGUUAUCAAACCUGCUUGGCUUAAAAUAAAUCUGCGAGCAGAAAGACCAAGUCCCCCUUUCCUAGCGCUAAAACUUUUCCUGCUGCUUUGGGGAAAAAAAGGCACCUCCCGUACCUGGCUGACAGUUUUGGCCAGAAAUGGUGAGAAGAAAAAGCAUGAAGAAGCCGCGAAGUGGAGGAGAAAAGGUGAAGGGAGAUGCAGCUCCUGGAGAAAUUGUAAAAAAAGCCUUGCAAAAGAGUUGUCGGAAGGACCGUUAUUCCUGCUGGGCAGGAGCGAGAGGAGAGACCCUGAAACACACGCCACCUAUCUUUGUGGGGAGGGAUAAUUGAAGAGCACCAAACGUGAGCAUCAUGUGGAAACGUGAUCGGCCAAGUUUCUCUCUGGGAAAGGAUCUGGGAUAGAUUAUACCUUGAAGUCUCCGCGAACGCUUGAGCGGCAGAAAUGCAUAUUUCCACCUCCCUCGAGUUGCCUCCCUCAGCUUGUUUAUCGCUGUGUUGCAAUGGCUCUGUGGUUGUGAAAUCUCGAGCUGAAAACUCAAAA
rnacentral:lncRNA from 1 species